UGUGUAGGCGGUUUGAUAAGUUGGAUGUGAAAGCUCCUGGCUUAACUGGGAGAGGUCGUUCAAAACUAUCAGACUUGAGAGUGGUAGAGGGAGGUGGAAUUCCGGGUGUAGUGGUGAAAUGCGUAGAUAUCCGGAGGAACACCAGUGGCGAAAGCGGCCUCCUGGCCCAUUUCUGACGCUCAGACACGAAAGCUAAGGUAGCAAACGG
rnacentral:rRNA from 1 species